UGAUCCGUGACGUUUAGUCGAAAAAUCACAAGCGCGCAUGCCGUAGGUGUUUGCCUGGUUGCAAGAUCUUGCCGAUUUCAACGUUUUUCCACCUCUUCGGUAAGUACUUGACAUGCCUGGAUUACUGCAAUCAGCACGUUCUUAGCACUUUCUUCUUUGGCUCCCCACCGCGCGCAGGUUGGCGUACGCUGAACUGGACCCUCGCAGCAAGAAUGGCACGUGGGACUGCCUCUGCGAACCCCGCUCCUGGACAACAGCUGGGAGGCUCUGUGUUUAAACGCGUGCACCUUGGACGUCAUGCUCCUGCCUCUGCAAGCCCUUUUGCUGGACGCCAUGGAAGGCCCUCCACUCGAAAGUGUGCACCUUAGA